CUGUACGGCCAUGCCACCCUGAACGUGCAGGAACUCGUCUGAUCUCAGAAGCUAAGCAGGGUCAGGCCUGGUUAGUACUUAGAUGAGAGACCACCUGGAAGACCAGGUGCUGUAGACA
rnacentral:rRNA from 1 species